rnacentral:rRNA from 1 species
GAUGAACGCUGGCGGCGCGCCUAACACAUGCAAGUCGAACGAUUAAAGCACCUUCGGGUGUGUAUAAAGUGGCGAACGGCUGAGUAACACGUGGGCAACCUGCCCCUCUCAUUGGGAUAGCCACGGGAAACCGUGGAUAAUACCGAAUACUUCGGGACUUCCGCAUGGAAGACUCGAGAAAGCUCCGGCGGAGAGGGAUGGGCCCGCGGCCUGUUAGCUUGUUGGUGGGGUAAUGGCCUACCAAGGCAAUGAUGGGUAGCUGGGUUGAGGGACCGACCAGCCAGAUUGGGACUGAGACACGGCCCAGACUCCUACGGGAGGCAGCAGUGGGGAAUCUUGCACAAUGGGCGAAAGCCUGAUGCAGCGACGCCGCGUGCGGGAUGAAGGCCUUCGGGUUGUAAACCGCUUUCAGCAGGGACGAGGCGAAAGUGACGGUACCUGCAGAAGAAGCCCCGGCUAACUACGUG